GCCCCGUUCGUUUAACGAGUAAGACGCCUGGUCUCAUAAACCGCGGAGACGGGGGUGCGAGUCCCUCACGGGGCU
rnacentral:tRNA from 1 species